rnacentral:rRNA from 1 species
UACGAAGGGGGCUAGCGUUGCUCGGAAUCACUGGGCGUAAAGCGCACGUAGGCGGCUUUUAAGUCAGGGGUGAAAUCCUGGAGCUCAACUCCAGAACUGCCUUUGAUACUGGGAAGCUUGAGUCCGGGAGAGGUGAGUGGAACUCCGAGUGUAGAGGUGAAAUUCGUAGAUAUUCGGAAGAACACCAGUGGCGAAGGCGGCUCACUGGCCCGGUUCUGACGCUGAGGCGCGAAAGCGUGGGGAGCAACAGG